rnacentral:guide_RNA from 1 species
AAUUGGGGCACUAUACCCCGUUAUAUAGUAUAGUAAU